UACGUAGGGGGCAAGCGUUGUCCGGAAUCAUUGGGCGUAAAGAGCGUGUAGGCGGCCCGGUAAGUCCGCUGUAAAAGUCCAGGGCUCAACCCUGGGAUGCCGGUGGAUACUGUCGGGCUCGAGUCCGGAAGAGGAGUGUGGAAUUCCUGGUGUAGCGGUGAAAUGCGCAGAUAUCAGGAGGAACACCAAUGGCGAAGGCAGGUCUCUGGGCCACUACUGACGCUGAGAAGCGAAAGCAUGGGGAGCGAACAGG
rnacentral:rRNA from 1 species